UGCAAGAUCCAUUCAUGAAGCACUAGACAUUUUCAAGGACUGGAACAAGGAUUGGAAUCCCCUAUAUUGGGUUACUGAUUUCUCGGAGUCAGAGAUAAAUGCAAUUGAGCAAGCAUUCCCUCAGACAAAAGUUUACUUGUGCCUUUUCCAUCGAAAACAGGCAUGGGGAAGAUGGUUGAAAAAAAAGGAUAAUCUACGUGUACCAAAUGACAUGAAGACAUUUCUGGAUAUGUGACAAGAAAUUUCAGAAUCACCAACAGAGAGAGAAUUUAAAGAUCGCGUAGAAGAGUUGCGAACGCAUGAGGUUUCUCGGAGAAACGAGCGUGCAUGGCCAUAAUUUCAACAGCAAUGGCUAACGCUAUGUGAAAGAUGGGUGAAAGCGUAUGAGGACAAGGGCAGAUUUGCAACUAUUGACAGUACAAAUGAAGUUGAAGCAAUGAACAAGGUUGUAAAACAUUUUUUCCUUAAACACAAUUCAGACAGGACUUUAACUGGGGUUACUAAGGUUAUAAUAAACCAGUUUCUUCCAAGCCUAAUUAGAAAGUACUGUCUGCAGAAUUCUGCCAUCAAAGCUUAUAACAAAGAUGUUCCACUGUUUUUGCAUAAAAAAAACAAACAAGUUUGUGAAACAUGUCAUGCAGCGAUAUGCAUCAGCAAAAGUUGAGUUAACUGCAAGAUCAGUGAGUAGGAGAUCGGAUGGUUCAUUUUGUGUGGAGAGUGCAAAGUCCAAAAACUGUAAUUAUGUUGUAAACUUUGAUAUACCAGAUUGCACAUGUGAAGAUUUUCGGAGAUAUAAAUACCCAUGCAAGCAUUUCUGUGCAAUCUUUAUUUUUUACCCAGAGUGGGGUUUUGAUAAAAUGCCAGAAAGUUAUAAGACUAGUCCAUUAAUCUGUCUUGAUGAAAUGUAUGGGGUGGGCUUUAGAAGUGGCUCUUUAGUAAUUUCAUAUGAAGGCAGUAGUAGUGACAAAGCUGUUGAGGAGGCAGUUGAAGCAGCUGAGGAGGCUGUCGAGGUUGAGGAGGCUGUCGAGGCAGCAAAUACAGAUGGUGUUGUUCAAACCCAGAAUAUUCCUUUGCAGCAGUUUGAAGCAAGGGAGCUGUGUAAACAGAUUUAUAAUCUCACAUACAACUGCAGCAACAGCGAAACAUUACAAAAAGUACUUGAAUCACUGAGCAACUGUGUGCAAGAUUUGCAAUUAGCAAAUCCUGAAGUUGGUGGUCUCUCAUUAGCAGUGCCAUCAACUUCCAAAUAAUAGUGAAGAAUGAUGCCAAAAGCCUUAAAAGAUCUGUCUUAAACACAUUAUAACUUCCCAUUUGAAGGGUAAGAAAUGACGGUUUAUUUGAAUUUUAGAUAGCUCUUUGUCUAUGUAAAAUACAAAUAAGCUCCGUCAUUUCUGAUCCUCGAGAUGCAAUGCUAUGAGGUCUUUAUGUUGGUCUCUGCUUUUAAACUUUGUUGCACAUUUGAAUUUCGAAGUAGCAAUAGAUAAAAUAUUAUAAAAAGGAUAGUUGCUACAUUUGUGUGUGUGUUUGUGAGUGAGCGAGCGAGUGUGUGCGCGCGCGCUUUUGAAAAGGCCCUUGUUGCCCGAAAGAUAAGUCCGACAGUCUUUUUGUUGUGCCUUUCUGUGACUCAGCAUCUUCACCAUUUGGUGAGCAGCAACAACUAUCCUUUUCAUAAUAUUGUUACAUUCCAUCCUGGAUUUUUCGUUGUUCAUCAGAGAGAAGAUUUUUCUGGGGAAUUAAACUAGAUGGUAGUGUAGAACUUGCAAACUUUUUAAAAUAUGAAGUAAAAAAUUUUAACUUUAAAUUAGGUUAAUUCAAAUAUGGGACAAUGUUGAGAAUUGAAAUAUCUUAGUGGCAUUGAGAUGUCGUAUGAGUGAUGGAGGAAAGAUUUAGCAUUUCGUUUUGCAAGUAAGAAUGCACUUGCUCUCACUUGCUUCAAUACAUGUCUAGUGAUUCACGUGAAACAGAGAAAAAGAUAGACUGCCCUGUUAAUGAACAUGAGAUUGCCCAGUAUCACUCUGACAGAAGAGUAUGGUGUUUCCUUCAUAUGGUAUCUGGUCAGCAAUGUCAUUGGGACCAAAUGAAAGUUACUGCAGAUACCACACAGAAGCAAUUACUGUUACUGGAAUACCAGUAAUUUUUAUUAAAUUCAGUUGUAAAAUAGUUCUGGGCAUUGCAGCUGGUGAGCAGUGUCAUUGGGCACCAAAAGAAGUUCAGUUAUGAUGGAUUUCUGGCCUUCAGUCCAUGGGAAAAUUCACACCAGAUUGCAUCAAGACUGUUAUAUUCCAAGGAUAUCUUGGAAGAUUGAUAGUAUUCCUGAAGGAAAACAAUCCAUAUAGUAUUUCACGUGUGUAUCAAACUGCCAUUUGUUGUGGCACAUAAAUGUUUGCAACUUGAUUGUAAUUUUUGAACAGUUUCUCAACAAUCCAAGAAUUUCUUGUAAUGAGAAGUAGACAUUGUUGCUUGGGUAAAGGAAAUACAAAUCACAUUGAUUGUAGUAAGGUGUAAUAAUAUGUAAAUGCCCAAUAAAAUAGAUUGAUAUUUAUAUUUUUUGUUUCUGUAUAAUAAUUCUGUAGCUUGGUGACCUGAGUUGUGUGUGUG